GAGUUUGAUCAUGGCUCAGAUUGAACGCUGGCGGCAUGCCUUACACAUGCAAGUCGAACGGCAGCAUGAUCUAGCUUGCUAGAUUGAUGGCGAGUGGCGAACGGGUGAGUAAUACAUCGGAACGUGCCCUGUAGUGGGGGAUAACUAGUCGAAAGAUUAGCUAAUACCGCAUACGACCUGAGGGUGAAAGUGGGGGACCGCAAGGCCUCAUGCUAUAGGAGCGGCCGAUGUCUGAUUAGCUAGUUGGUGGGGUAAAGGCCCACCAAGGCGACGAUCAGUAGCUGGUCUGAGAGGACGAUCAGCCACACUGGGACUGAGACACGGCCCAGACUCCUACGGGAGGCAGCAGUGGGGAAUUUUGGACAAUGGGCGAAAGCUUGAUCCAGCAAUGCCGCGUGUGUGAAGAAGGCCUCGGUUGUAAG
rnacentral:rRNA from 1 species